CACGUAGGGGGCGAGCGUUGUCCGGAUUUAUUGGGCGUAAAGAGCUCGUAGGCGGCUCGGUAAGUCAGGUGUGAAAACUCGAGGCUCAACCUCGAGACGUCGGCGGAAACCAUCUGGCUAGAGUCCGGAAGAGGAGAGUGGAAUUCCUGGUGUAGCGGUGAAAUGCGCAGAUAUCAGGAAGAACACCCGUGGCGAAGGCGGCUCUCUGGGACGGUACUGACGCUGAGACGCGAAAGCGUGGGGAGCGAACAGG
rnacentral:rRNA from 1 species